GUGACUUGCCAAAGACGCCCAGCAAGUCAGGAGGGGGCCGCACCUUGAACUCAAGUCAGUUUCCAAAGUGCCCCAGUUCCCUGGCCUCAAGCCACGGUUUGUGCUGACUCAGGAGGUGGAAAGACACUGGCCUGGUGGUUGGGAAAGCCAGGCUGGAACAAGCUGUGCUCUCAAGCUCUGGGUGGCUUUGGGCAGGUCACUGUCUUCUCUGGACCCCACUGUCUAUGCUGUGAAGUGAGAACUUGAACUCAACCACCUUCCUGCUGUGACCACCUCUGGAUAUGUGGUAUGAACAAGCAAGACUGGGUCUACUUCUGCCCCGUCCAUGCUUCCAGAGCCUGGGAUGGCCCUUGGCUCAGAGGCUGCAGUGAACCGCCACUGACCAUCGGGGGAGUGGGUAUGUGCAGCUGCACGGGGGAAUUCGGCAGCAUGAGGGCACCCAGCAAGUGGGUAGGACGACCAGGCUGCCCUUGGUGACACCAUGAGUCCUCCCUUCCUGGGCUCAGGCCUCUAAAGGGAGGUCUCACUGGGAGCUCCUGACCUGGAAUGCCUCCACAGAAAGGCCUGUGACCUCUUGGCCUUUAUUUCCUGGCCUUCUGAAAGGUCACACUUGGAAGCUUACUAGGGGGCUGAGCAGUGUAGUCUGUUAGGGUCACUUUUGUCAGAGAGUGAUCAGCCAUGUUCCCCACAUUUCCACUCUAGGAUGAGAAGACCAAAUCAUGGGGACCCCCAGCAGGAGACAGCUAGAACUCUCUAUCUGCCCACCCUGGGUAACCACCCACCGCAGCAAUGCUUGUGGGGGGACAAGGCAGAGAUAUUUUACACCAUGACCUGGAUUGAUCUCCUUGUUCACGCACUUCAGGUGGCUCAUGGGGGAUACACCAUGGGCCUUCCUUUUACCAUCUGGUCAGCCAGCCACAGAAGCAAUAGCAACCAUUUAUUGAGCACUUACCGUGUGCCAAGCAAGAUGCUCAGCUCUGCAUUUAUUAUCACAACAGCCCUGGAAGUUACUAUUUUAAUUCCCAUUUUAGAGUUGAGAAAACGAAAUCUUGGAGACAUUACUAAACUUGUCCAAGUUCAUACAUCUAAUUGUGGUGGAGCUAGGAUGCAAAUCCAGGCUACAAAACUUGGGUUCUUAACCACUGCACUAGACCUGCUUCUUCCAACCAUUCACCCAGUUAUCCGGUUACCCAUCUGCAGAAGAUAGGAUCCACGCUUAAAUUAGGAUAGUUAAAAAUGAGCUUUAUAUGGGAUCGUUUAAAACAAGAUGAGGAGGCAGGUGGUGUGCAAGGAAACCACACAGGAUCCUUCCAGUGCCCUAGAAUCAGAAACAGCAGAACCAGUGUCUCCCAGAACCUGAAGGGCUGAAGUGGAGGAAGGAGGCAGAGAGGGCUGCCCAGCAGGAGCCGAGCCUAUCAUCAAGGGAAGUGGCCAGGCUGAGGCACCACAGAGAGAGAGCACACCCAGGAAUAAGUACCAUGGCUUUCCUCUUCCCUCCUCCCUCCCUGGCUGCCUCUCUCCUAACUCCUGCUUGGCUCCCCUUUGGGUUCACCCAACCAGAAGCCAAAGGGCACUGGAGCCUGUCAGUGCUGCCCCUUCUGGUCAACUUCUGGACACAGGGUAGGGUUGAGGGGAAGGAGAGCAGGUCUGAAGGGCACAGAGGAGGUGUCCUAUGCACCAUCCGUCUACCCGUUGGCAUAGUUGCUGUGUCAAGCUCUGCUAUUGGUAUGGGGAUAUUAUUUCAGGCAAGACACACGUGGUUUGUUCAUUCAUUUGUUCAUUCAUUCACCAAAUACUCUUGAAGCCCCCUCUAUGAGAAGCUCUGCACUGGGUGAUGGGGACUGGGAGGAAUACAACUUACCAUACUUUUGAAUUUUAUAUGAAUUAUUGGCUAUUCUGAGAUGUGCCCUGGAGAGCUGCUUUCUUGCUUAGAAAGUGUGUGUAUGGUGGGGGGGUGGGGGUGUCAGAUGAGACAGAAAUCUUCCAACCAGCAGAAAAUCUAUUUGCUGAAUUUCCUGAUCUGACCAAUUAGUCUUAAGAUUAUAUUUGGCUUUUAGGGGAUGGAAGCUGUAGUCCUGGGGAUGCACGACUACAGUGACUUGGUCUCAUUAACAUCCUGAUGAGGAAACAAGGCCCCAUGGAGCAAGUCACAGUCCUGCAUUCCAAGAGCUGCUAAGAUACAAGAGGGGGUGGCUGGUGAGAGCCCAUUUAUCAAAGGUCUGGCCCUUGCAGGAGCUAUGCCUCCCUCUGGGCCCUGCCUCCCCAACUGCAUGGAGGUGCCGGAACUGACCCCUGCUCUGAGGUUCAGUGAGUCUUGGAGGAGGCUUCAGCUGGGUCUCCUGUCCUUUACCCUGUGCCAUCCCCAGAGCCGGAGCCAUGCCCUGCAUGAACGCCUCUGUGCUUCUGAUUUCCUUGAGACCUUCAGGCCGCUUCCUCGCUUCCCUGCACUCAAUUACAACCCACUCCCCUUGGCCCUGAUUUAAUUACUGCAGCGGGUGCCCAUCUGAGCUCAUUACCACCUGGCUGCUCAGACUGCUGUGAGGUUAAUGGUGCUGCCAGCGCUGAUCUGAGGGGUCCAUGCAGGGUGGGGGCAGCUGAGAGCCUACCUGGAUAUGUGAGGGGUCUGCCUCUACAAUCCCCCCAUCCCCAGGACACCAGGAGCCCUUGAUGCUCACACAGUGAUGUGCUCUCAGCCCUCGGGCCUGGCAGGGAUGGGUUCGAUCUGCCUCCUCCGUCUCCAGCCAUUUUUGUUGGCUUAGUCGGUCGGUAGACUUUCAAAGUAAUUUCUUGCAAGGCUUUUUCUAUCUGUAUAUUUGUAUUUCAGUUUUUGUGAUCUGCGUGGGCCUCUAAAGUUCAAAGCCCAGGCCCCUCCUGCCUAGAUCUAAGAGUGGGUCUGAGCAGAUGGAAAUAUGGGCCUUCAACAGAUGCCAUCAAGGAGAUGCUGGUGACUGAGCUGCCAGUGGGAAUGAGGGCAGCAGGGGCUGCCGUUAUGGGUCAUGUGCCCUGCACCUCUGUACCUCUGUCUGCCUCCAGAACUUAGACGCCCUCCAGGUAAAAGGGCUGGGAAAGCCCCUAAAUUGUCUGCAAAAGCCCUGAGCUGACCAGAGUCUAUCCAGCAGCAGCAGAAGGAAGCUAAGCAUUAAGGUCACAAUUCUGUGCCCAAAGCGUGGCUUUGUGAUAUCAUCCAGCCCUCUCUCCACCCAGGCUGGGUGGCCAUCUCGGUGGUUAGCUCCUGCCAUUCUGCUGCAAUGGAAGCAAAGCCCCCUCCUGCUGGAAGUGUCACUUCAUUUUGGGAAUGGGGCUGAGAACAGAGGAUAGAGUGGGUGGCCAACAUGAGGACUCCAAAACUCUAAGCAAUGGUUAGACGAUCACAGGCUUUGGAGCUGGUCUCUGCAGCCUCCAGGCUGAGGUUAUCUCAGACUUCUUUGAGUCUCAGUUUUCCUAUCUGUAAAAUGGGGAUCACGACACACCCUACUUUCGUUAUCAAGUUGCCGUGAGAAUGAAGUGAGCUGUGGCAUGGGAAGCAUUGGCACAGGGCCUGGCUCUCUACUCAUCGCAGCUACCUUCUUCUUGGGGUGAGGGCUCCUUGGUAUAAGGUUACCAUGCCCCAGGAGAGUGAAGGUCAGACUGUCCCUGAAGAGGAGAGGACUUAGAUGCUGGGUUUCUGUUCUCGCGAGGUAAACUGGGCUAACUGGGCUGCGCAAAAUAACCACACAACAGACACAAGUACCUUUUUCUUUGGGGUCGCUGUGACGGCUCCUCUGACCUUAAGGGUCCGCAGGAAGAGAGAGCAGAGCACAUGCUGACCCCUUUUAUUGAGGAGAAGCUAUUCAAAUGAGGCAAGCGGUCAGGUUUCAGGGGGUUGAGUCUAUCUUCAUGAUAUUCACUGUCAGCUGGUUGACUGACACCGGGAUAGGCCACACCCAAGGGCACAGUAAGAGGAGGGGACACACACAAGGCGCUUCCAUGCCCUAAACAGGGCAAGGGGUUAUAUUACAAAGGAACGGGUGAGUGUAGCCCCACCCAUGGGGCUGUAGCAAGACACACCCAUGCACGAAACACCAACCCUCGAACCCAAGAAGGGUGGGGAAAGCUCUGCCACAUUUCUGCGACUGAGCGCCUCAGCACCCAGCCGGGGAGUGUGACUCAGUCACGUGCAAGGUUGGUCUCCCACACUUGGACACUGACCAAAGCUGUUUUGCAUUAGAAACUAUGCAUGGGGAGUUCUUUGUUCUCAUUCUUGUCCACGAAGCAAUUCCCAUUUCCAUGCCCUCUGAUACCUUUUAAAUCCAGAUCGACCAUGGACGAGGUGAGAGAGUGGCUGGCCCUUUAACCUUGAAUCCACCUUUGGUUGAAUCUGCAGAUGCAGAAUCCGUGGCUAUGAGGGGAGUGUGACAGUGUACAUAUGGCAGCAUUUCAGGCGUAGUGGCUCCUUAGAGAGCACUUUUCUUAUGAGGAUCGCUACUCAGAUGUCUACAUGUGCCUUGUCGGUCACCUAGAAUUCAGAUGGGCAGUGGGCACCCAAUCAGGAAGAGUGCCCUGUAAGGAAUUAAAUUAUAUUUUCUUUAAUGAGAGAAAAAAUGGGCAGAAAAUGAUCUUGGAGUCCCUGAGUGUGACCUUCCUUACAAUGUUGCUUAAGAAAGGUCCCCACCGCAUAGGAGAGCAAUGGUCCCUGAGGAAGGGGACAGUGGGCCAGGGUUCUCUAGAAGGCAGGCAAGCCCUGGAAGCUAGCUGCCUCCUGGGUUGCCUGGGAACGAAGCUAAGAAAGGGGACAGCUAACUGCUCCUGCACCGGGGCUCGGGCUGCUGGGGUGCGAGGGGCUGAAAGGGAGAAGCCCGAUGUGGAGGCUUCCUGUUCUUCUCAACUCCUGAGAAACACAACCGCCCUUUGAAAGGCCUGGGAGAAAGCAUGGCGAAAAGCCAUCCCCGGGUGGGGACAGCCGUGUGGUCAGAGAAAAGGGGUAUUAAUUAGAGUGUAAUUAGAGUGUUUUGAGGGUUGAAAAGAAGAGCUGCCUGAUCCCUGAGCUAAUCGAGAGGAGAAAAAGGGACAGGAAUCUUAUCGGCGAGAUGAUGACAGUGCCAAUCUUACCCCAUAGGAUGACCCAACCCAUGGCUACAGGCCAAGCAGGCUGAGCUGCAUCCUUAUCUGAGUUCAGCUUGCAGUUGGUGGGACAACUCCUAGGGGACCAUGGUGGCCUGGCAGAGGGCCCUGCCCUGUGUCAGUUUGUGGGAUCAAGUUUCCAUUCAGGGCUAUCGUGCAACAUGGAAGGGUGGUGGUGGCAGGGGCUGCUGGGACAUGGGCUGGCUUACGGCUAGGGAAGGUAGACUAAACCCUGCCUCUACUUUGUGAGGGGCAAUUCAGGGGGUCUCUUUCAAAAAUUGCAGAAAAAAUCUGAGCAAAUUUUAACUUAGAAGAAACAUCUCCUAAAGGAGAUGUUUGCUGUAUUUGACCACAUGCCAAUUAGGAACUUUUUUUGAAUAAGAGACAGAGGAAGGUUAAGACUCAAAUGACAAAUAAAGAGAAAUAUUUGCUACAUAUAUAAGAGGGGAUCAAUGUCUAGAAAAUAGAAAGAACUUUAAAAAUUAAAAAUUAAAAAAAGAUAAACCAAUAAAAACUGGGCUAAGGGUUUGAUUAGGAAAUUCACAAUAGAAAUAAAAAGGAUUUAAGGUCACAAAGAUGACCUCCUUGCUGGUCAUCAGGGAAAUAAAAGUCUAAAAAAUGAAUUGAGGCUGGGUACUCAAAAAAAAGUUUGUUCAACUCAUAGUUCUGGAGGUUUAAGGGUAUGGUGCCAGCAUGAGCUCCGCUACCUCAUGGUCAACUGCACAACAAGGGAGUUUGUGCAGGAGGAAGUAAUCACAGUGCCAGACAGGAAGUCAAAGAAAGGGGAGGGGCCCGGGCUUGCUCCUUUUUUAAUCAACUCUCUCACAACCCUCUCAUGAGAACUAACUCAGGAAUCCCAGAAGAACUAUUAUAAUUCCUUCCAAAUGCAGAACUCAAAGAUCUAAAGACCUCCCACCAGGCCCCACCUCUUAAAGGUCCACACCAUCUCCUAAUAUCAUCACACUAGGGACCAAGCCCCCUGGGGGAUAAACCACAUCCAAACCAUUGUAAUAUUCAAGUUGAUAAGAGUUGAUGGCCUGGUGAGUUGCUGUAGCCCCCUGACAGAUCCUAUCAGAAUUUAAAAUACACUUUGUAUAUAACCCAGCAAUUGACCUCAUGGUAUCCACCCCAAAGAAACACCUUCAAAUGAGCAUGAAGAGGAAAGCACAAAGAUGUUUAUGGCAGCAUUGUUUAUAAUACUGAAACAUGGGGGGAGAUCUAUAAGAAUGGGGAUGGUUAAAAACCCUGGUAUGUCAUUCAUGUUAUGGAAUCCUUUGCAGCACAGAGCCACGCAGCCCUAUAAACUUGCACUUAUACUGUGGCCUGAGAGAGGGAGGCAAGAGCAUUUGCUUAGCUGGGAUGUCUUGUGUUCCAAGUGACCUACAGGCUGAAUUGAGAGGCUGUGGGGAGGCCCCUGGGCAGUGGUUAGAUGAAGAAGAGGGUAGAGACUGUGGUUCUGCAGGUUCCCAGAGCCCAGGUGUAAUCUGGUCAGGUGGAAUCACCACUGGAGGCAAGGCCUGGGAUAAAAGAAGACCCCAGUUUGCUAGCUGGAGACCCCAUCUGAGGAGCCCAGCAAUCAGGCAGGUAGAGGAUUAACCUAGAGAGUCAGGUGGCGUCCUGAUUCUGCCUCUUCAGGGCAAUCAUCUUCCUGCCUGGUUGCUCACAUUAAUCCCCCCACCCCCCGCCAAUACCCCCAUUCACACUCCUGACAUUUUCCAACACCUCCACAUGGUAUGUGAAAGAUACCUGAGGGAGGAAGCAUUUUCAUACAAGGCAGACUGAAUAUCACCUGGAUUGUUUAAAUGAUCAGAUCAGACUGAACUUCAAGCCAAAUAGGAUGACAUUAUGUACUUUUUUUCCUGUUGACCAAGGGAGGGAGGAGUUUAGGAGGAAAGUCAGAUUUAUAACAAACAAAGUUUAUUAUAGCCUCCUUGUGCACUGGAGAGCACAGGGAGCUGAGUUUUGUGGCCCCAAUGCGAAGCACUUGGUUUUUCAGUUUCCUCUGCCUGGAAUGAUAUCUCCUCCCCUCUCUUCCUGGUUGGUUCCAGCUCAUCUUUCAAUUUGGCCCUGGUAUCCCCUUCAGGCCCUGUCGGUGAGUCCCCUGAGCUUUCCUUUACCACUGUGGCAUCUCUUGUGAUGCCUCCGCAUCAGACUGUGUGUGGAGACCACCUCAUGUCCCUCUAUGUCCCCCCAGUCUCUAGCACAGUACUAGGUACAUGGAGGUGCUGUUAAUGAUUGAACAGGUGACUGUGUAGGUGAAUGAAUGAGGGAGGUGUUUUGAUAGGAUCUUGGGCACACCUUUCCCCUCCCUAGGCCUUUGUUUUUUAUCUUUAAAGAGGCGGAGCUGGGGGAGCUGUCCUUCUCUGGGAACUCCACCCAGCCUGGUCCUUGUCCUACUGAGCCUGGCUGCCGCACUUUCCCCCUGUGGAGAAGCUCCCGACCUGAGAAACCAGUCUGCUGCAGCCUCCCUGCUCUGCGCACUCAGCCUCUGUCAAAUCCUGCUGCUUCCUCUGGUAGACGUGGCUCCUGUCUGGCUUCCUCCCCACACCCUCAUUCUCGAGGGACCCUGACAGCUUCCACAUGGGUGCGGUCACUACUCCUUCCCGAGUCCAGCAGGCAGGCAGCCCAGCGCCAGCAGAGGAGCUGCCCAGGGCCUCUCCCUGCCCCUGGGGGAGAUCCCUUUCCCCCUCUCAGAUCCCCCUGUCGUCCUCCUGCCCUCUACUUUCCUUUCUCUUCUCUCUCGGUCUCUGUGCCUCUGGCUUGGUCCUCUUUUUUCUCUCCCUUCUACUGGCUGUCUGUUUCCUUCUCUGUCCCACUCUCCUCCUCUUUACUUUUCUGUGUCCUUCUCUCCUCUUUCUUCUCUCCAGACUAGUAGUAGCAGCCCCUCCCACUCCACAGGCCUUCCCUCCCCAGCCUGGCUGAGGGCUGCUCUGUUUCUCUGAAGCCCUUUCCUGGCCCUAACUCGAGCCUGAAUCCCCUCUCCUGCCCACCCCACCCCACCCUAUCCCUGUUGGCGGGUGCUCCAGCCUGGUGGGUGUGCUGGGACCGAAACAUCAAGCAUUGCCAUGCUGAGGGGGAGGAAAAAAAUGGCAGUGACCCCUGGUCGAGGCCAUCUGGGCCUUUUCUGGCAUGGAGACGCCCCACCCCCACCCUGCAUGAGUAGCCUGGCCCCUUCCUGUCGCUGAUUGCUACAGUUCCUUGGCCAGGGAGCAGCCCCCAGAACAACGUUGCACUCCUGGCUCUCCAAGGGGCCUAUCUCCCUCAGCUUCCUUCCUCCUGCGUAGCCUGCUGGGGGCUGAGCUACUAGAUCUCCAGGUUGCUCAGCUGGGGAAUGAGACCCCAGAUGGGUGGGGUGUAAAGUCAAGGCAGAGAAAGUGAGAGUGGAAAGUGAUACCCAAGGCAGGAAUCAAACAAGUGAGAUUGAGCCUUAGUGGAUCCUGCUUUGCCUUGGGUGGGGGGGAGGGGAAUGGCCUUAGGCAAACUACUCAAACUACUUCCCUCUCUGAGUCUCAGCUUUCUUUCCUAUAGAUCAGGACCUGGGAUUCCCUUUCAGUGCACAAUUAUGAGAAUUAAAUGUUAAGACAUGGAUACCUCCCCCUCCUCCUCCCCUCUCCCCCCCUGCACUGAAGACUCAGGGUAAGUGUUACUUGAGAUGAAAUUUGAAUGCCUGAUAAGAAAUAAGCCAGGAGCCAGAGACCUGCGUUCAAAUCUCAUCUGUGUCUUCUGUGGAUGGCAGGUGAGGAUGCUCAGAGAUACUGGGCACACAGCAGACUGAGCAAAGGGACCUGGAGAUUACUUUUGCAAUAAUGGACCUUUAUUUUAUUUACAUGUGAUGCUAAGAAUCGAACACAGUGCCUCACACAUGCUAGGCAAUCGCUCUGCCCCUGAGCCACAACCCCAGUGCCGCUUUUGCAGGUUCUUGAGCAAGUGGCCAGGGUGGCUGCUGAGGAGCCAGAGAUUUGAGCUCAGGUGUACAAUGCACCUUAAAGUGGCAUGUCAGACAGACCAGCCCUUCCCUGAUUCUGACUGCCCUGGAACACAUUCCACAUGCUACUGCAUCUGUGCCUGGGCUCCUGCUGUCCUUGGCACAGAUACAGGUGCAGUCACCCUUCUCUGCCUGUUCAUAUCCUGCCUAUGCCCAGCUUGACUGGAAUCCUGAGGUCUUGCUGGGUCAAAGACUUAUUUAUCGACUUGACUUUGGUUAAUGAGCCUCAGUUUACUUGCUUGCAAAUGAUGCUGUUCAUAUCUACCUCUGGGUCUUAAUGAACACUUGGUGGGAAACUCCUAUGAAAGCAUGAUUCUGUACAUAAAUUCUCUCCUUUUCUUGACACCUUUUCUCUCCAAUUUAAAAAAAAAAUGUGUCUUGCUUUCCUCGUUAUGUUAGUUGGCAUUAUUUCCCAUAGAAUGGGCAGUCCUUGAGGACUGGUUAUUUCCAUCGCUGGUAACUAGCACAAGACCUAGCCCAUCACACUCGCAGAGGGAAGUGGGCCUAGCCAUGAGCUUCACAAGAUAAAUAGUCACAUUCUCUGGGCCUCACCAUGUGCCUGGCAGUGUGGGGAGAAUUCUCUGCAUCUGUCAAUCACUCAACAAAUACUUAGUGUGCAUCUCUCAUGUGUCAGGUUCUGCCUACUGUGCUUAGGUGACAUCAGUGAACAAAAGACAUAAAUCCUGUCCUUGUGGAGCAUGACUUCUAAUAGAAUGAGCAGAUGACAAAUAGCAAGCAGCGUGAAUGUUGGAAAGUGACAAGUGCUAUGGAUAAAAAUAGAGUAGUUCAGGGGGCAGCACUGGGGAGGGGGUGGGUGACAAGUUAAACCGGGUAGCCAGUGUCGACUCUUUAGAAGAGGACAUUCGAGCCAGGGCUCAAAGGGUGUAAGGGAAUUCUCCAGAGAGAGUUCUUUGGGGAAAAUGUUCUCGGCCAAGGAGCAGCCAGGGCAAAGGCCCUGCCAUGGAGCCUUGUUGGGUGGAGCAGGGAACAAGAGAGUCAGGGGAAGAGGUCAGGGUGGUUGUUACUGGGCAGAUUCACCAGGGCCUCAUAGGCCAUCAGAACUUUGGCUUUUGCCCUGAAUGACUUUGGAGCCACUGGAGAUUUUGAGUAAAGAAGCCACAUGGUCUGUUUUUAAAGGACACUCCCCAUGGCUGUUUUAGGGGCUCCCACCCCAGCUCUACCUCUUCAUAGCUGUAUCACUGGGCAAGUUAUUUCACUACUCAGCUUCACUUCUCUCUUGAAAGAGUAGAUUAAUAAUAUGUGUCUAACAGAUCCUUGGCAGAAAUUCCUGUCUGCUCCUGGGCCUAAGAAUAGCAGUCCUUCUGAGCAGUUGGUCUGUUUCACUCAUGAAAACUGGCUGUGUUUUGCUGCUUCCUGGCUGCUGGGAGCCCAGAGCCGAGCGAGUGCUGCCCACAGGGAACACAGCCGUCCCUGGGCUGCUUCAACUUGGUUCCCGUGCUCAGUUAUUUCGCGCCUAUUUUAAAAAUUUACCUUAAAUGUUAUCUCCUUAAAUAGCAAAUUUUCCCUCAGUUACAAAAGUAAUACUUAUGAAUAUAAGAUAUUUUAGGGGAUGUAUAUGAAAAGGAUCAUAAAUAAAAAUAUAUGUGAUUCAAAUAAAACCACUUUUAAUCUUUUUUUUUUUUUUUUAGUGUUUCUUUUCAAUCAUGGGUGUGUGCCAUAUGUGGCUAGAAGAUGACUGGGCUAUAAACAUUUGUUUUGUGUCAUGGUGGGACACAGGCAGAAAAGAAGGCACUUAUUUGGUUCGAGGCAUGAGAGGAAGCAACCCAUUUGGAAGAUUUAAGAACUGACAAGAUUUUAGCCCAGAAGAAGAAUAUCCUGAUGAAGAGAAGAGACAGAAUUAGAGGGAAGGUGAGGAAUUGUGGGUGCUAAUAAGGGGCCCCAUCACUCACCUCCCCCAGCUCUGUCCAGGAAGAAGGUGUAUGGGGACCAGCCACAAGAAGGCAGAGGGAUACUGUGGGGCUCCAAGAUCAGGACAGACCCGUUCCUUCCCACUCUGCAGAGCCUGGGUGCAGGGCACUUAAGCUCCUUGUUCCUGCUGAGGUCCUAGCUGGAAGAGCAGGGGUAUCUGAGAGAAGCCUAGGCUGAUGGGCUGGAGGGAGCCUCCCAGAAUGCCUCAUAGCCCUGGAGAGGCUUGGGGACAGCACAGGGGUCCUGGGCCCUUGGGAGUGUGGGAAGUAACGGAGAGACUUGAAAAGCUCCCAUGCUGGACCCAGGCAGGACCAUAGUGUACCUGAUGUGCAGCUGUAUCAGUUUCUGGAGGCUGCUGUAACAAAUCACCACAAACUGGGUGGCUUCAAACAAUAGAGUUGUGUUCUCUCACCUUUCUGAAGGCCAGCAGUGGGAAAUCUGUCAUGGGCUGAAAUCAAAGUGUUGGCAGGGCCACAGCACCUCUGGAAGGUCUGCAACAGAAUCUUUUCCUUUUCUUUUCCAGCUUCUGGUGGCUUUUGGUCUUCUUAGCACCUUUCUCUGUUCCAUCUGUAAAUCACCUUCUCGUCUGUCUGAACUUCCUCUGUUUCUUACAAGGGCACAUGGAAUUGUACUUUGGACUCACCCAGAUAAUCCAUAAUAAGCUGCUCCUUGCAAAAUCCUUGUCUUAAUCACAUCUUUUGCCAUAUAAAGUGAUCCCCAUCUCUUGCCAUAAUAGGUAAUAGUCUUAGAUUCUGGGGAUUAGGAAAUGAAUAUGUUUUGGGGGAGGGGUCAUCCCCCCCCCCCAUGUAUACCACAAGAAUCUUGCUGUAACCAAGCUCCCUACCUGGAACUGAAGGGCCCAUGAUUGGGAACAAAGCUUGACCAGACAAUGACCAGUGAGGACUGGCAGCCAGGACUCAGACAAAGUAAUGGAAUGUCUGUCUCAGGGGAUCCACCAUGAACAGGUGACACUUGACCUACCUGUAGGAACAGAGAAAAGGAGGUGAGGGUAGGGAAUUUAGAAAUAUGACUGAGAUUAAGUUUCUACCUCACAGAAUGGGGGUUCAUUACAGAAAUAAAAAUUAGAAAAAAAGAAAGAAAAAAGAAAAUUAGAAAAAUGAAAUUACUGUUUUUUUGCAUAUCUAAAUGAUCUGCAAUUGGAAUCUACUACAUAUACCUAUGUACAUACUCAAAAUGAAUUCUCUUCUAUAAAUACUAUUUUAUAGACUAUUUUUUCAUAAUAAGAUGCUCUAUACAUCUUUCCAUGUCAUUAAAUAUUCAUUAUUUUUUCAUCAUUAUUUUUAUAACUGCCUUUGAUAUUCCAUUAAUCAAAUAUACAAUCCUGAAUACACAUAAUCUUGUAUUAUCACACAAUCUCAUGGGUCACCUUAAGUCCUUUUUCCCUCUUUUUUAAUGUAAUGGGAAAUCAAUAUAUUUGUCUUAAUCACAUCUUUUGCCAUAUAAAGUGAUCCCCAUCUUGGGCCAUGAUAGGUAAUAGUCUCAGAUUCUGGGGAUUAGGAAAUGAAUAUGUUUUGGGGGGAGGGUCAUUUUCCCCCCUGUAUACCACAAGAGUCUUGCAGUAACCGAGCUCCCUGCCUGGAACUGAAGGUUCUCUUACAAGGUUGUUAUGAGGAUUAACUAUAAUUUUGAAUAUGUAAAAUUUGAAAUUGAAAAUUUAUAAAUUCAGUUCAAAUUGAAUUUUAAUAUUUUGAUUUGAAACUUGAAAUUCAUGAAAAUCUGAAGUCAUACUUGACCACAUUUAGUUCUCUAUCGUCUCUCAUUACAGUAAAGAUAUUGCCAACUUCGGAAACCUGAUGCAACCCUGCCUCCUUGAGCACCCCACCUCCCACAUCUGCUCAUUGUCAGGUCCUGCCCAUUCACUUUUGUCUCUGGGACUGACCAGUUCUAUCCUCUCAGUCCCUCUCCUGGUUGAGGCCUUCAGCACCUCUCUGGGCUAUUGCUUCAGCCUCCUCCAUGGUUGUCUUCCUUUGGGUUUCCCCAAAGCAGAUCCAGAGACAGGGGCUUGGCUCAUGUAGUUCAUUUGGGGGGUGGUGAUCCUAGAAGAAAAUCAGCUGUGGCUCUGCACUUAUUGGGGAGAGAAAGCAAUAAAGUGCAUGCAGAAAGUGAGCCCAGAGUCACUAGGGAUGGAGAGGCCCCUGUAGGUGAGCAGGCUCUGGGAAAGACUUUUCUCUUCAGGGGCAGAGAGGCUUGAAACGGGAAGCUGUCAGCAGUAACCAGCUACUCCCUGCAGCCGGGUGGACUUUGGAUCUGUAGAGCAGGAUGUCAUAGCAUCUGUGACCCCAGUCUCUUGCCUCAGUCCUCUGCUCUCUAGCCUGUUUCCUAGACACAGUGACUCAGCAAUGCUGUUGUGGACAUGAGGGAGCAGGCAGAGGGACAGUGGGACAGACUGGCUCCCACAGUGGAGCUCAUUGAGGGUCCAUGUCUUGGUUAAUAGGCUGCCUCAUGUCUGAGAGCACCCUCCAGCUUAGUGGGACUGGACUGGACUGGGGUGGAACAGGCCAAAAUCACAUGAGCAUAUCUCAGGACAUUGAAUUUUACUUGAUUCAGUCUAAGUUGGAAAGCCAGAGAGAUAGAAGGCCCAGGGAGACCACCUGAGAGUGCACAUUGGCCUGGGCAGUCUACCCGCAGAUCACUGAGGGUUUACCCUGUGCCUCUUGAGGUAUGGAAGCUUCAGAGGUGUACUAAAGCCAGCAUGGAUGCCAAUUAAUACCUUCAUAUUUGUCUGCAGAUCUUAGCAGGGAAAAAAAGCCCUUAUUGGAAUAGUGCCAUUAUUGGAAAAUAAGUGAAUAAAUGGGACUAUCAUGGGUAUCACAAGAUCCACUGAGAGCAGCUGACUGGAGGGUGGUGACUCCCCACGUCCCCGUGACGGCUCACUCACAGGACUCUCAAAGAAGCCAAGGGACUCCAUCCCCAGGGUGGCUGGUAACAGGCUUGUGUGACCUUCAGCCAGAGCAGGCCCUUCUGGUUCCUUCAGAGGAACAGGCUUCAUUAUGUGCUCAGCAGCCAUUUCCUGGUUCUUGCUUUGUGUGAGGCCCCUUGCUGGGACCUGGGACACAAACAUGGCUUUGGCAUGAUUUCUGCUGUCUGAGGGUCUUGGCAAAUGAGCAGGAGGUUUGGGUAGGCACAAGGGUGGCGGGGAGGGCCUUCCUUAUGGAGCACCUGUAGCACAUAUCAGAACCCUGACAGGUGUAAGAUGGUAAAAAAGAUUUCCACAGGAACCUGGGGGCUGGGGAGGCUGAGACCUAGAGAGGCACAGUGACACGCCAGAGUCACAUAGCUCGUCAAAGGCAGAGCAGGGCUCAACUCUCAAGGCCCAACAUAUUCCCACUCACUGGGCAUGUCCGGAGGACAGGACCAGGCAGCUGGUGGGGACAGGACUCCCCACUCUGAGGGUACCCAUGUGGGUUUGUUCCAGGCUUCCCCUCCCUCCCUGUCUCCUCAGCAUAAGUGGAUGUUGGAUAUGUCUUUCAUUUCUGUAUUCUGGGCCUCUCCCCACCUCUCAGGUCUGCUCCCAGGUAGGGCCAGAGCAAGGCUCCAGGCCAUGUGGACCUGAGGAAGGGACUUAGGAGACAGCUGGAGGAGCCAAACUCAAGCAAACUUUAGCAUAUCUGAUGUGGUAAAGCCAGGGUCUGAGCCGGAGAGCAGCCUUGUGGCAUCUGCAUGGUACAAGUGGAAUGGGGACAGCCCAAGGCCAGAAGCAGGGCAUGAGGCUGAAGAGUAUGGCAUUUUAUGACCUAGCUUUGGAUGUCACACAGCUUCGUACUGUCUGUCCCCUGUUGCUCAAGGCAGCCACAAAUACCUGCCUAGGCUCAAGGGCAAAGGAUAGAAACUGUCUCCUGAUGGGAAGUGGCAAGGCUCUAGCAGGGCCUGUGGGGUAAGAGCUAUUGUCACAGCUGUCUAUGGAAAAUAUAACUCAUCACACCCACUUUACACUUGUAUUUUCACUUUCUGGUGGCAUCUUUUAAAAUUUUUAUGGCACUGGAGAUUGAACCCAGGAGCGCUUUAACCACUGAACUACAUACCCUUUUUAUUUUAUUUUGAGAUGGGGUCUUGCUAAGUCUCUGAGACUGGCCUUGAACUUGCCAUCCUCCUGCCUCAGCCUCUGGAGUAGCUAGGAUUACAAGUAUUUGCCACCACACCCUGCUUCUCUUAGGACAUCUUUUUUAAAAAAAAAUUAUUAUUUUUUUAAUAUUUAUUUUUUAGUUUUAGGUGGACACAAUAUCUUUAUUUUAUUUUUAUGUGGUGCUGAGGAUUGAACCCAGUGCCUCAUGCAUGCUAGGCAAGCGCUCCACCACUGAGCCACAACCCCAGCACUUAGGGCAUCUUUUGAUACACCAAAAUUCUAAAUGCUAUCAUAGUCAAAUAGAUUGCACUUUCCUCUGGUAUUUGCAUUUUUAAAUGUCUUGUUGAAGUUCUUCCAUAGCUUAGGUUCAUAAAAGAAUGUUCCCAUAUUUUCUCCUAAAAUUAACAAAAGCAGUUGGCUAUCCCAUGUGAAGGCCUUAGUCCAUGUGGCACUUAUCUUUGUGUUUGGUGUCAGGUGCAGAUCACAUUUCUUUUUUUUUUUUUUCAUAAGGAGCAACCAGAAGGGUCAGCACUGUUCAGCAAGCAGUUCUUUGCUCUUCAGUAACGCAGCUGCCUUUUACGACAUUCUGAUACAUGAUUUUGGGAGCCUCUAUUCUGUUCCUUUGCUCUGAUAAUACCUUUCUCAACCACCAUGCUUUCUUAAUUUCUGUGGUUUAUAAUUCAUCUCACUAGCUCAUGGGGCAGGCCUCCUCAUCUUAUUUUUCUUUUUGGGGGACUAUCUCAGUUUUUUUGCUCAUUGAUUAAAAAGAAAAAGUCUCUGUAGAAUUGGCUUGCAAAAUUCCCCAAGAGACAUUCCGGAAUUUGACUGGAAGAAUAAGGAAUCUAUAGAUCAUUAUGUGACACUGGUAAGUAACCAUUUUUUAUUCAUGUAUCUAAAAUAUUUUCCCAUUUUAAAGAUAUUCUUAAUGUUUUUUCAAUAAAGUUUAAAAUUUUUCUCAUUUUUAAUAAAGCUUACCCAUCUGUUUAUUAAAUUUGUUUUAAGGUAUGUUUAAAUUUGUUGCUAUUAUAAACUUACUGAGACAGGUUCUCAGUAAGUUGCUGAAGCUGGCCUCCAACUUGAAAUCCUCCUGUGUCAGCCUCCCAAGUUGCUGACACUACAGGUGUGUGCUGCCACAUUUAGCAAGAGUGAGAUUUUUUUUUUUUUUUUUUUUUUAAUCUGGAAGAAGACAAGGAUUCCUGCUCUAAGGAAUUAUGGUGAAUUCUGUUUUUGGGGAAGGCACUAAGCAAUUCAUCUUUUUAAAAAUUGUGUUUGUGUGAGUGUGUGUGUGUGUGGGUUGAGAUAGUCUUGCUAAAUUUCCCAGUUGGCCUCAAAUUUGGAUCUUACCACUAUCUGAGGUUGCAGUCAUGUGUCACUGCAUGGCCUUUUUAUGUAUUUAUUUUAUAUUCAUGUACACCUCUAUACUUCAUUUUAAUUACUCCUUUGUAGAUGAUGCAUUUUAUGUAGAUAAUAAUGUCAUUUGCAGACUAUGAAGUUUGUUUUUUCCUUUUUCAUCUUUAUGCUUUUUCCUUCUCUUAUUUUACUGUGCUGAUGGAGGGGGGAGUGUGUGUGUGUGUGUGUGUGUGUGGUGUGUGGUGUGUGUGUGUGUGUGUGUGUGUUCGUGUGCGUGUGGGGUUGGUGUGGGGGUGGGUGUCCAGAACAGAAUUCACCAGAAUUCCUUAGAGCAGGAAUCCUUGUCUUCUUCCAGAUUAAAAAAAAAAAAAAAUCUCACUCUUGCUAAAUGUGGCAGCACACACCUGUAGUGUCAGCAACUUGGGAGGCUGACGCAGGAGGAUUUCAAGUUGGAGGCCAGCUUCAGCAACUUACUGAGAACCUGUCUCAAAAUUAAGCCAGGUGCAGUGGUGCACACCUGUAAUCCCAGUGUCUCCAGAGCCUGAGUGACGCAGGAGGAUCAUGAGUUCAAAGCCAGCCUCAGCAACAGUGAGGCACUAAGCAAUUCAUCGAGACCCUAUCUCUAAAUAAAAUACAAAAUUGGGCUGGAGAUGUAUCUUGGUGGUUAAGUGCACCAGGGUUCAAUCCCUGGUACCAAAAUAAAUAAAUACAUACAUAAAUAAAAUAAAAUAAAAUAAAAUAAAAUAAAAUAAAAUAAAAUAAAAUAAAAUAAAUACAAUUUAAAAAGGACUAAAGAAUGUAGCUCCAUGGUAUAGCACUUGCCUAACAUGUGAGGCCUGAGUUCAAUCCCCAGCACCACAAAAACCAAAAGCAAACCAAAAACAUGUCACUAUCAAAUGUGAGUCUUGCUUGUGGGUUUCUUUUCUUUCUUCCUUCCUUCCUUCCUUCCUUCCUUCCUUCCUUCCUUCCUUCCUUCCUUCCUUUCUUUCUUUCUGAAGUCAAGGAAGUUUUUGUCUCUUCCAAAUUUGUUUAGAGUUUUAUUUUUUUUUUUUAAUCACUAAUCGACGUGGAACUUUCUUGAUUCUUCCCCCCUCCAUCUAUGAGAUGAAAUACAUCUUUUCUUCUAUAGUCUGCUAUUGUUGAUUAUAACAAUAAAAUUAUAUAAUAAAACUAUAGCCUACCUAUCGUUAGGAUUAGGUUAGGCAGUGAAUGACAAAAGACCCAAAAUAGUGGCUUUCAUACCAGAGGAUGUCGGUCUUUCUCACACACGUCUGGAGCAGGCAGUUAGGGGCAGUUUGGCCCUGGUACUCCAGCAAAUGUACCAUGCCCCAGGGCCCUCCCCUCAUAGGCUGCCACUCUCCAGUGAGAUGACCUCUUUAUCCAAGGUGGCACUCUGGCCAUUGCAGCCACAUACUGCAUAGGGAGCGGCCAGAAGGGUGAGGCAGAGACAAAGGGCUGGCCAACUGAGGGCUCUCAGAAAAGGCUCCUGAAGCUGGUGGCCUGGACACAGCCCAUCUUUUACUGCAGCUUUUUAUAUACAUGUUUGUAGGUUCCAUCAACUUACAAUUUUCCUUUACCACAGUGCCCUUGAUUUUGAUAUGGCAGAUGUGUGCAAAUUGGGGGUUAAUCAUUCCUUGAAGGUCUGGCAUUGCUUAUAUGAAAAAUCUUUAUCUUGGGAGUUUUAUUGUGGGCAGAUUGAAAAACAUGUUUUAACAAUUUCGAAUUUACAGAAAGCUGAAGUAGGAUACAUACAAUUUGUCCUGAACAAAUACUCCAAUGUUUCCUACAAACAAGGGCAUUUUCUUAUGUAACCACAACGGGACCAUCAACCUCAGGAAAUGGACAUGGAUACAGGACUGCCAUCUACUCCUUGGGACCCAUGCAGGUAUCUAAAAUUGUCCCACUCGUGUCCUUUAGAGCCAAAGGAUCUGGUUCCAAGUCUCACAUUACCAAGUCUCAGUCUCUUUCAGAGUAAGGCGGAGCCAGGGCUUUCCUGAUCUUGAAGAUUACAGGCCAGUUCUCUGCAGCACACCCUGCAAUUUUGGUUUGAGUGAUGUCUCCUCAUCACUAGAUUCAGGUCUUGAGUCUUCAGCAGGAACGUCCCAGGGGCUGCUGUAUUAUGGUUUCAUCUUGUCCCAUCACCGGUAAUGUAUGCUGUGAUCCCUUGGAGAGAGUUUGCCAGGCUUCUCCACAGGAAAAUCACUGCAGAAAUCCCUUUUCCAUUUAUACUAAAUAAUUAUAUUGUGGGAGGAAUUCUGAGACUAUAUAAAUAUCCUGCUCACCAUCAAAUUCUCCCUUCCUUCCUUUCCUCCCUAACAGUUUGGACUCGUGGUUUCUUAUUUUAUUUAAGGAGUUAUAAUCUGUUACUAUCAUUACUUAUUUUGGUGCAGAGAGUAAUGCAGAUUUGCCCAUGGAUGCUCCUGCAAAGUACCUGCUGGGUCUUUCUGACCUGUCCCCAUCAUUCUUUAGGCACUUAUUUACUUUCAGUUACUACAGGCUGUUCCAGAUUCAUCUUGUGUUUUCCCUGGAGUGGCCUGGAAUCAGGCAGCACUGGCUCCUUUUAGAAGCCAAGAUUUAAGUGCUCAUUGCUUUGGGGUGUUGCUCCCAGGCACUCUCAGCAGAGAGGGCUGCAGAGUGUAUCUCUCUGAGUUCACAUCACCACCUCUGAUUCCAAACCAACAUCACGGGUUAGUUCUGUUUCUCUCUCUGGCCAUAUUUGUAAUUCUCCUUGCUAACAGUGGAAACAUGGCUCCCGUUACUUUAAUAUACUUAUUUGAUUAUUUACAACUACUCUCUCAUCACAACCACAGCUCCGUGUGUGUAGACACCCUCCUCACCCUGCAUGGGCUCUGGCAGCCCAUGCUGGACCCCACCUUCCUCGUGGCCCAGGGGAAGUAGUAGAUAAAGGCUGAUGUUGAUUGAACUGCCCCACUCAAUGCUCAGAAAUUCAAGGGUUAACCUAUAAAAAUGCCUUCUAAUUUUGAAUUGUUACCGGAAAGGAAAACAUUUGCUUGCAUAACUGGGAAAAGCUCUUAAGAAAUAUUGUCAAGUAAAUGAAAAUGCAAUUGAAAAUCCUUAUUGAACAGGUACAUACAGCAGCACACACCUGCGAUCCUAGUGAUUCAGGAGGCUAAGGCAGGAGGAUUGCAAGUUCAAGGCCAGCCUGGGUGACUUAGCAAGACUAUGUUUUAAAAUAAAAUAAAAAGAGCUGGGUUGUUCCUCGGUGGUAGAAUGCACCUGGGUUCAAUUCCCAAUACUGGAAAACAAAACAAAACACACAAGAAAUCCUUAUUGAGAGGCUGGAGUUGUAGCUCAGUGGUAGAGCACUUGCCUAGUACGUGUGAGGCACUGGGUUUGAUCCUCAGCACCACAAAUAAAUAAAUAAAUAAAUGUAUUUAAAAGUAAAAAAGAAAAAGAAGAAACCCUCAUUGAAAUCUUGGAACCUUGUGAACAACACAGCCUGAGACUCCUGGUUUGAGGCCCUUUUCCUGAACCCUGUGGUCUGCUUCUAUACCUUUGUAAGUCAUGCUUACAAAGGGUGGUUGGAUGUGCCUGCUAACUGCAUUAUUGUCACACACACACUCACUGUCACAAUACCAUUGUCCUGCUGCAUGGUCUCAGGUUGAGAAAUUCGGUGGCUUCUCGUGUCUGUGGUUCAUGGAUGUUGAUGUCCAUGGCUGACAUUUCCUAGGCUGGCCAGGGUGCCCACCUCCAGGGGCCAUCCAUCUGACAUCCUGUGUCUGAUCUGAGGUCUGAGGAACUGCAUCCUGCUGGACAGGAAGGUGUGGAAGUGGAAAGCUCUGUCAGUCCCACCCCACACCCCAGCCAUGUGCCCCUUCUGUCCUUCUGUGUCUCUGCUGAUAGCCAUCACGCGGAUCAGGUAGGGGGCCCUGGAGACGGUUAGCCACCGGCAGAGCCACCACCUGGGGAGAGGCUGGCUGGAUGUUGACCUCUCUGGGUGUUCAGGUCUCCUGCCACAGCCAGGGGACCUUGUCUCUCCCUCCUGUCUCUCCUCCUGCUUCUCUCCCUUUGGACCUUUCUAUCCAUUAUCAACCUUUCCUCCAGGUGUCUUUUUCCUUUCACUAUCUCUGUCACUUGUUUUCUCAGCCUGAUUCUGCUACUGAUUCAUUGGGCCUUGGUUUUCUCAUCUGGAAAAUGGGGAGAGGGUUGGAUCCUCAGGCCCUCCUGGCUCUUCCCUCUCCAACCGCCUGCCCCUGUAACAUGUCCUCUCAUCUGCUCCUUGUCUAUCUUGCAUUCUUACCUCUCUGCCUCUGAUUGCUCUUGGAAUCUCUCUCCUUCCCCUUCUUCUAUGACUUUACUUCCCUCCUGCAGCAUCCACUUCCUGUCUUAAUUUUUCCUUCUCUGAAUCUAGUUCUCUUUCUCCCCCUCUCUCCUUCUGUUUCUCUUGCUUGUGACUCUAGAGUCUCUGUCUCGUGUCUCUCUCUGCCUUCCUCCCUUUUUCCCAUCUAUGACAACUUGUUCUGAACUGUUUCCCUGUGUCACUGACCCCCCUCCACUCUGCUGUCUCAGUCUUUCCUAAUACCAAUGUUUCUGGGUUUCCACCCACUUCCCUCUCCCUAUUUAGAGUCCUCCUUCCUGGUCAUGCCCUGGCAGAGGACUGGGAGCUGGGCUCUGGUGCCACGAGAUCCCCACAGAGCCAGCUCCUCCCUGUGAUGGGAACACCAGCUGUGAGGCUGGCCCUUGGAAGCAGGUGGGGCCCAGCUGGCUGCCUCUGCCUCAAAGAAGGCUCGGAAAGUCACAUGUGGCACUCAGAAGGUAGAAAUCCUGCCACAUCCCAAACCCAGAGUAGGCUUCGGCUUCACGACCAAGCCUACCCUGUGUGUGUGGGCACAUGUCUCUGCACACACAGCUGGGCACCAGCUCUGGUGGUCAGCUCCCCUCAGGGAUUGCUGCUGGCGUUCAGAUUCACUGAAAGAUGGCUUCCUUUCCUUGGAGCCUACUCCAGCCUUGAUCGCAAGCUCCCAGCCCUGGGCUGGCUCUUGGAAUGUCUCCAUGUGGAGAUGAUCAACACUCACAGGGAGAGAGUUCUGGCCCAUGCACAGGUGAGGAGUUGCUUUAAACCCCAUCAAGCCUGCAGAUUCUGUGCCUUGCACUCUCCCCCCUCACUCCGUCCCAUGCUUUCUAGAAUUCAGACCUAGCAGACAUUCCCUGGCAUCCAUGGGUGCCAGGUGAUCCUGUCACUGUACACAAACCCACAGCCUCCCCAAGAGGUGGGCACAGUUCUCCAUUUCAUAGGUGAUAUUUAGGUUCCUGAGGUCACAGGCCAGACAGAGGCACAGCCCAGCACAAGUCCAAUCUGCCCAUAUUGUUCUCUGCCCACUGUGACAACUCAAGGUUGAAGAAUUGGCAGUGGGGGUGCCAGGGGGCAGGGAGAAGCUGUGUUGGCCUGCAGAAGCAGACCGUUGGCAGCUGGUCCUGGAAAAGGCACAACAGAAAUAAAGUACGUCAGACUGCUGUUCCAGUAGGGACCAGGCGGAGUUCAAGGCCCGGUGUUUUCAGGGUGGGGCAGUGUGGCAGGCCUGACUCUGUAGGGUAAGAGUUGGAGGCACAGGCAAAUCACAGGUAGCACAGCCCGGAGGAAGUGAGAAAGUCCCAAAGCAUGGUCCAAGAGGAAGCUGUGACAGGCCUCGCUUCUUGGAGGUGGCUGGAUGGUGGUUUAAUAGCACAGACAAGGAUUUGCCUCCUCCCUGGCUCACAGCCCAGGGCCUCUGGAGCACUGCAUCAGGAAAGGCUCCUCAGGUCUCCAAACCCUGGUGUCCGCUCUGUGCCAUCACUCUUGCUCCCAGUCCAUGGUAAGUUCUUCAAACACUGUGCCAGGCCUCCCCUCUGGGGUCACUGGGGCCAUGGAGAGUACUGGAUAGCACUUCAGGCUACAAACUGCCCCCUGAGCCUCCAGGACAUUGGCAAGGGCCCAUCUGACAAAUGUGGCUCCUUUCUCAUCACCGCUGCUCAGGGUUUCUGGAUUCCCUCAUCUACUCCUCGCAGUUCGCCAUCGACUCUGCGCAGUUGUUGCUUCCGUCUGGCUCCAGUUCCGAUGUUCAUCCGGGGAUGGAGAUGAAGUCGCAGAGGGGGUUUCAUCCACUUGCACAUGCAUGAGGGUGGAGGGGCUGGAAUUCACCAGACCAGGGAUCCCUUCCAAAGCCUGUGGUUCUCAUCUCCUGAUGUGCCCCAUCCUUUCCCAUCUUCCAAAUCUCUGCCUUCCCUACCAAAUUACAGCAGCACCCUGUCUCACUGGCAUGAAAAAUGGAGCAGGCACAGAGUAGAAGAUCAGAGAAUAUGGAACCCACAGAUGUGCAAAGGUGUGCAUGUGACUAGUGAGCAGGAUGCCCCCGAGGAACUUCAUCAAGAAUGGACGGGAAGAUUCUAUUGAAGCCCAGGACUAGGAGCCUGGAUGUGAGCUGCUGGCAGAAGAGGCAGACCCUCCUGGUGGCAGAGGUGUUGGCUGGCUCAGUGGGGCUGUUGCAAUACAAACGUCUCAGGCUAUAGGCUCAGCAGGAGAGGGUUUAGGCCAGGGCAGGUGUGGUCCUGUUCAACUCUACGCUGGCCUGCAGCACCUGGGCAUGUUCUGGACACUGACUGAUGUGAGAAAAAAAGGCUCACUGCAGGUACCUUCCCAUGUGGGCCUCGGCCAGGCUGCAGACCUGCGCUCAGCAUCAUGGGGACCAGCUCACCCCCGAAGCCUGACUGCUAUUCUGUGUUCUGGGCUGGACACUCCUCUGGCUUGGCACAGCCAGUUGCUUUGUGGCAUCUUAAAGUUUUGUUGUUGUUGUUGUUUAUUUUGUUUUUUGAAGUUGUGUCUAAUUGGGCUUUGCUUUCUGCAGGGUGCCCCCUGCCAAUGAGGGCCCUUCGAGGUCCCUCUGAAGCAAUUGGACCCAAGCCUUGUCCCUGUGAGAAAUCCUGGCAGGGGUCAGGAGUGACAGUUAUGCAUAAAAUCACCACCAAAGGGAAUACGUGGCCUUUUACUGUCCUGUUAAGUGAGCAAAUUCACACCCUGGGGAGGUGCAAGUUAAGUUCACAUAAAAUCUUCAUUUCCCACAUUACCAACUUGCACCUGGAGCUCCUCUGGGGCAGGGUGCAUUUGGUGUCUGCCCAGGUGGCAGGAUGGUCUCCCGUGUCUGCAGCAUCUUCCCCAGCCUAAGAACAGCUCCCCAGACUGUCUUCCAUCCCCAGGAACUAACUACUUUCACUCAAAUAGAAUUUUCUUCAUUCUCACAGAAACUUCAUUUGGAUCCUCAGAGACUGAUGCCUUUUCUUCUUACCUCGUGCUUUCUGGGGGACGUCUGGGGGACGUCUCUGAGCCCCAAAGGCCUCACCUGUAAGUGUCAUGGACCUCCAGCAGACCAAGCACUGUCCUUGUGAGAACACAGAAGAAGGCAUGCUUAUCUCCCUGGGCCCUGGGCAGAGAGUGUGCUCUCUGAGACCCCCGGUACAGGCAGCAGGCGUGGCUGUCUCUGAGCCUGCUUUUGAUGACUUGCUCCUACACUCAGCAGACUCUGACUUGGCCUUCAGUGCCUUGAGACUUUCACCUGCCAGAGCUGUCAAUAAACUACAGGAGAAGCCCAGGUGUUCCCUCUUGUAGGUGGUUCAACGCCAAGAGACGCUAGCUGAGGCCAGUUACUUGAAGAUUUGGUGCCCCCUGCUGGAUAAAGACUAAAAUGCUAAGAGGAGACAACACUUUUUCAAAAGGGCAUUUAUUUCAUCCAUCAGCAUCCUUCCAUUAACCUUUCCACCUCCCCAUUAAGCUACCAUCCACACACCCACCCAUCAAUCCAACCAACCAACCAUUUACCCAUCUAGCCAUUCACAAGCCUAUCCAUCCUAUUCAUCCAAACACACACACACAUACACACACACACAUACACAUACACACUCACACACACACGUGCCAGUCUCACUCAUGUCCUUUAGGCAUCACCCACUUUCAUAGGGUCUCCCAUUGCAACAGUCCCACGCUCCUCUUCUGCACCAGGCCCUGCAUAGGCUUCAGUGAUAGAAAAAGAAGAAGGAAGGCCUUCAUCUGUGUCUCUUUCUUAUUUGCAGAUCACCCUUAUACGCAUCAUAUCUUCUGUCCCUGUAGUGUCCUUAAAGAGCCUAAAGAUCCCAAUUUGACUGAUGAAGAAACUGAAACCUGAGAGACCAAGUGGUAUGGCAGAAAUAGUCUGGGGACAGAGAGAUCAGUUUCAAAUCAAGGCUCUGUUGCUUACUAAUUCUGCCACCCUGGGCAAGUUUCUUAAGUUCUCCAAACCUUGAUUCCUUAUCUGUGAAGUUAGCUACUUUGACAUGUAUUUAUUGUGUAUAACUUAGAUGCCAGACUUGGCUUUGGGGCACAGCAAUGAAUAAGGAGGGAGGGGCCCCUGCUCUUGUGAACCUUACUGGGCUAUUAUGGUAAAAUUUAUACGAGAUGGGAACAUCCUGCAUUGUCAUAGAAAUGCCACUUACGUCAUGUCUUUGUUACUACCUCUG
rnacentral:lncRNA from 1 species